UACGUAGGGUGCGAGCGUUAAUCGGAAUUACUGGGCGUAAAGCGUGCGCAGGCGGUUUUGUAAGCCAGAUGUGAAAUCCCCGGGCUUAACCUGGGAAUGGCAUUUGGGACUGCAAGGCUGGAGUGCGGCAGAGGAGACUGGAAUUCCUGGUGUAGCAGUGAAAUGCGUAGAUAUCAGGAGGAACACCCGUGGCGAAGGCGGCUUUCUAGGAUAUACCUGACACUGAGAAGCGACAGCUAGGGGAGCAAACAGG
rnacentral:rRNA from 1 species